AGCCGCACGGAGGCGAA
rnacentral:misc_RNA from 1 species